UACGUAGGGUGCAAGCGUUAAUCGGGAUUACUGGGCGUAAAGCGUGCGCAGGCGGUUUUGUAAGCCAGAUGUGAAAUCCCCGGGCUCAACCUGGGAACUGCUUUGUGACUGCAUAGCUAGAGUACGGCAGAGGGGGAUGGAAUUCCGCGUGUAGCAGUGAAAUGCGUAGAUAUGCGGAGGAACACCGAUGGCGAAGGCAAUCCCCUGGGCCUGUACUGACGCUCAUGCACGAAAGCGUGGGGAGCAAACAGGAUUAGAAACCCCGGUAGU
rnacentral:rRNA from 1 species